GGUCGUGAUCGAUAAGGCCAAGGGACACAAGCUGUCCAGCAAGGCAGCCGAGACCCUCCAUCGACUGGGCACACCGAGCACCUUGGCCAAUGUGGUUCCCAUACACCGGGGGAUGCCAAGCUCAAUAGCGAGGACGAGGAAGAAGAGGAAGAGGUCUUCAAAACCGAUAGAGCCGCUCAAGAUGACAAAAACGAGUGUCCCAGUUGCAGCGGGAACCACCAUUGCUGCAGGUUUAAAGACGCAGUAUGUCGAUAGUGUGAAAGGAAAGGACAUCUGGACAGAGUGUGCAGAGCAAGCCAGCCUUCCUGCCAAAAGAGCCGCGCUGAAUGGAAGCCGUCCAAUCAGCAGCCACCUCCAUGCAGGGGGACCCAAAAUGGCCCCUACCAAAAAGGCGGCCACUAAAAGGCACGAAAUCGAACCAAGUUCGAAUCGGCCAAGCCAGUGCCGAUCCAGAAGACAAAGAAUUCACAAUGGUUGGCAUCAAUGGCCAACAGAUCGAGAUUGAAGUCGACACCGGGUCAUCCAUCACGAUUGUAUCCUGCGACAAUGUCACGGCGAUCCUGUCGCACAUCCGAAAAGACAAACUGGAACACCAACGAUUCCGGGUGCAAGACUACCAGGGGAACCGGAUUCUCAUGGAAGGCAUCGCAACCGUCAACGUAACCUACAGUCCCUACAGGAAACAAUUGCCGGUGACCAUCAUUCGAGGGAACCUACUGAACCUCCUAGGGAUGGACUGGAUCAGAGUCCUAGGAAUGGGACUCUAUGGGGUCAUCGGGAUCCACGCUACCCACCAGAGCCUGAAGGAUGACCUUCUUCGAGAAUUCCAGGACGUCUUCUCAGGCAACCUCGGCCUUCACACAUGGCAGGAGAUGUAUGGCUGUGAGCUCCGGGGAGAUGGGAGCAAAGGAGGGUUUAACCAAUAUGGCUACGAUGGGAGGACCUUCAUCAACUUCGACAAGAAGACUCUCACCUGGGUGGCUUCCGAACCCCAGGCCCAGAUCACCCAGAGGAAAUGGAAUGCCAUUCCAGGAGAGGAGGAGGGAACGAGUGCCUACUUGGACGAAAUCUGCAUUGAGUGGCUGGAGAAGCUCCUGUCCUAUGGGAAUGAGAUGUUGCUGAGGACAGAGACUCCAAAGGUGACGAUGAGCAGCAGGACGGAGGUGGAGGAUGGGAUGGAGACGCACGUCUGCCAUGUCCACGGCUUCUACCCCAGGGAGAUCGAUGCCUCCUGGACGAGGGACGGGGAGGUCUGGCUUCAUGACACCCUCCAUGCGUCUGUGGCUCCCAACGCGGAUGGGACCUACCACUACUGGCUUAGUGUCCGGAUUGAUCCCAAAGAGAGAGACCGCUAUCGGUGCCACGUGGAACAUGACAGCCUGCAGGAGCCCCUGGAUAUGGCCUUGAAGGAACCAACCAAUUCAAAAUCCAGCCUGGGGCUCAUCAUCGGCUGCGUUGUUGUGGCUGCUCUUGUCCUGGUGUGUCUGAUUGCUGGGAUCCUGGUAUUCCUCAAGAGACGUCAAGAUGACUACAAUGCAGCACCCAGUGAGUGAAUUGUCCUCUUUCCGUGUAGUUUCCAACUUAGAACAGGCCUCAGAGGGAGGAACGUGGCCAUUUAGCAGCCCCCUUGCAGCAUGAGAGAACAGUCCCAGCAUCAGGAGAGAGGAGAGAAGAUGGGAUCAGCCUUCUUCUGAAUGAGGCCGGACUCUCAGGAGGAGCCCUUCAGCCCCAUUCUACAUGCUUGGAACCAGGAUGAAUUUGGGGUCUUUCACCUUCACUUUUAUUAUUGGAUCAGUAGCCUUUUAUAUUAGGAUUGAGGGACAGAGAAGAACAUCUUAUGUAUUUAUAAUUGUGGACUCAAAAGGAUUUAAACUGUGAUUAGUAGAUUUUAAUUUUUUAUUAAUUUGUGGUCCUGCUAAAGGUGUAUUGAAGAUAUCCAAUACACCUUAUCCUCCUAUUUUCUCCACAAAAACCACCCUGUGAAGUGGAUUGGGGUCAGAGAGAAUGACUGGCCCACCCAAGUUGUCUUUGGGGCUAAGGCAGGAUUUGAACUCGCGGUCGCUUUCUAGCCUGGUGCCUUAACCACUACAUCAAACUGCCUUGUAUAUCUUGUAAAUAGCUUUGUAAUAUAGCUUGUAGCAACUAUGUUGUUAUUUCUGGUGGUCUUUAAUGGGCUUCUGCUGAUUAACAGGUUUUAGAGAAAGGCCCAUAUCGAAUGGAGUAAGGAAUAGAAUGAAGAGUUUUACUUUAAGGGAAGAGUUUUAUUUUAAGGGAGAAAGUUACUUUAAAGUAACAUUACUUUAAUGUUUAUCUCCAUCAUAAUUGCUUGGAUUGAAAGUGGAAGUUUUUCUCUCUUGUUUGUGUAAAUUGUAUAAUGAAUAGUAUGUAGCAUGUACUGCCAUUUAUGGAUUUUCAGAGUUUAGAAAAAUGAAAUAGGAAAUUUCCCCCAAUCAUGAAGUGCUGAACAUCCUAAGGAAAGCUUUCACAAAUAAGAACCAAAACACAAGUAUUUAACACUGGACUCAGAGAUAAUAAUUGGAGCAGUUUGUGAUAAAUAAGAAAUUGUGUAAACUUUCCAAGAAUAAAUUAUAAUAACAGACAUUUAUUGUUAGCAGAGUGCUUUGAAUUUUAACUUUGCUGUUGUUCAACUAUUAACUAUUUUCCUUUUCAUAUAUGUAAUCUACGAAGGUCAGUUAGGCUGCAAAUAGAUCUACAAGAUUAUAAAUUUGGACCUCUUUUGCAAGGGGGGAAGCUAUUAUUGUUGCAAUAGAUUUCUCAGUGUUCAACUGGGGAGAGACAUAAUGUGUCUUUUCCUGUUUUUUCAUUAUUUUUUUUCAAU